GAUGAACGCUGGCGGCGUGCCUAAUACAUGCAAGUCGAGCGAACAGACGAGGAGCUUGCUCCUCUGACGUUAGCGGCGGACGGGUGAGUAACACGUGGAUAACCUACCUAUAAGACUGGGAUAACUUCGGGAAACCGGAGCUAAUACCGGAUAAUAUAUUGAACCGCAUGGUUCAAUAGUGAAAGACGGUUUUGCUGUCACUUAUAGAUGGAUCCGCGCCGCAUUAGCUAGUUGGUAAGGUAACGGCUUACCAAGGCAACGAUGCGUAGCCGACCUGAGAGGGUGCUCGGCCACACUAGAACUGAGACACGGUCCAGACUCCUACGGGAGGCAGCAGUAGGGAAUCUUCCGCAAUGGGCGAAAGCUUGACGGAGCAACGCCGCGUGAGUGAUGAAGGUCUUCGGAUCGUAAAACUCUGUUAUUAGGGAAGAACAAAUGUGUAAGUAACUAUGCACGUCUUGACGGUACCUAAUCAGAAAGCCACGGCUAACUACGUG
rnacentral:rRNA from 1 species